GUGUUCGUGAGGAGACUCAUUGAGUACCGCAGCUAACGCGUGAAGUCGACCGCCUGGGGAGUACGGUCGCAAGAUUAAAACUCAAAGGAAUUGACGGGGACCCGCACAAGCGGUGGAUGAUGUGGAUUAAUUCGAUGCAACGCGAAAAACCUUACCUACCCUUGACAUGUACGGAACCCUGCUGAGAGGUGGGGGUGCUCGAAAGAGAGCCGUAACACAGGUGCUGCAUGGCUGUCGUCAGCUCGUGUCGUGAGAUGUUGGGUUAAGUCCCGCAACGAGCGCAACCCUUGUCAUUAGUUGCUACGCAAGAGCACUCUAAUGAGACUGCCGG
rnacentral:rRNA from 1 species